rnacentral:lncRNA from 1 species
CUUGAUCCGCUGGGGACACGGCUUCCUUCUUUAAAUCUUCCAGUGGUUUCUUCAGUGGUAUGUUUCUUCAUCCGCAUCGUCAUACUGGGCAUGCUACAACGUUCCCAAACUGCUUCUUUUGAGACGCGUUCCUUUUUCCUUUUGAAUUGUGCGCUUGCCUCUGCAGUUGUCUGCUUCUUGGUGCUGGGAUUUCAUUGUUUCCCGUUUGGGGAUCUCUGUUGUACCCUUCCGUCUUCAGGUGGGGCUAUUGAUUCCAAACUCUAGAGCUAAAAGUAUUCCCGCAUUAUACUGGUGGGCGACCUAGAACUUAAAAGUAUUCCCGCAUUAUACUGGUAGGCGACCUAGAACUUAAAAGUAUUCCCGCAUUAUACUGGUGGGCGACCUAGAACUUAAAAGUAUUCCCGCAUUAUACUGGUGGGCGACCUAGAACUUAAAAGUAUUCCUGCAUUAUACUGGUGGGC